GUAGGUGAACCUGCGGAAGGAUCAUUAACAAUUAUCUCCUUUGUCCUCCCCUCUGCGGGAGGAUGAAAAUCCCAACCAAACAGCGAACCUUUGCUCGGGUCGGGGCUUUGACCGGAAGGGGCGUGGAUGCAAAAUCUGCUGCCCUCGCCCCUUUCGUCCCCGGCUCCCCGAGUUUUUUUUUCUUCUCUUCUUAUUUAUCCAAAAAACCCAAAUGAAAACUUUCUGACUGAACCCCGCUCUCUCUCUUCUUUGGUUUCCGAAAGGAGACCCUAAAGGGGAAGUGUGGAUAAAACAAAAGAAUUGGUUAAAAAACAACUCUUAACAACGGAUAUCUUGGCUCUC
rnacentral:misc_RNA from 1 species